rnacentral:misc_RNA from 1 species
UACGGAGGGUGCGAGCGUUAAUCGGAAUUACUGGGCGUAAAGCGCGCGUAGGCGGUUAGUUAAGCUAGAUGUGAAAGCCCAGGGCUCAACCUUGGAACUGCAUUUAGAACUGACAAGCUAGAGUAUGGCAGAGGAGUGUGGAAUUUCAGGUGUAGCGGUGAAAUGCGUAGAGAUCUGAAGGAACACCAGUGGCGAAGGCGACACUCUGGGCCAAUACUGACGCUGAGGUGCGAAAGCGUGGGGAGUAAACAGG